rnacentral:rRNA from 1 species
UACGGAGGGGACUAGCGUUGUUCGGAAUUACUGGCGUAAAGCGCACGUAGGCGGAUUUGUAAGUCAGGGGUGAAAUCCCGGGGCUCAACCUCGGAACUGCCUUUGAUACUGCAAAUCUCGAGUCCGGAAGAGGUGAGUGGAAUUCCUGGUGUAGCGGUGAAAUGCGCAGAUAUCAGGAAGAACACCAAUGGCGAAAGCAGCUCUCUGGGACGGUACUGACGCUGAGACGCGAAAGCGUGGGGAGCGAACAGG